rnacentral:rRNA from 1 species
AUUGAACGCUGGCGGCAGGCUUAACACAUGCAAGUCGAGCGAGCGGCGGACGGGUGAGUAAUGUCUGGGAAACUGCCUGAUGGAGGGGGAUAACUAAUGGAAACGGUAGCUAAUACCGCAUACCAUCAGAUGUGCCCAGAUGGGAUUAGCUAGUAGGUGGGGUAAUGUCUCACCUAGGCGAAGAUCCGUAGCUGGUCUGAGAGGAUGACCAGCCACACUGGAACUGCGACACGGUCCAGACUCCUACGAGAGGCAGCAGUGGGGAAUGUUGCACAAUGGGCGCAAGUCUGAUGCAGCCAUGCCGCGUGUGUGAAGAAGGCCUUCGGGUUGUAAAGUACUUUCAGCGAGGAGGCGUUACGCGCAGAAGAAGCACCGGCUAACUCCGUGCGAGCAGCGGCGGUAAUUC